rnacentral:sRNA from 2 species
CGCAGAUUAGCAUUCCGACCCAGAGCAAACCAGUCGAAAGAAGCCUCCUAACAACCUCGAAUUUUGAUGUCACGAGGUGAUAUCGUGGUAGGAAAUAAAGUGAAGAAAUAAGACCAUCUGUUGUUCGCAAGAGGUGAUAUUUAUAGGGGACGACGGGAAUAGCCCUGGAUAUCGGAAUGAUAGUUAGCCUAGCGCCUCAGUUGGAUCACUUGUGAGACGGUUAUAUAGAACCAAUUGCGCUUCAAA